rnacentral:lncRNA from 1 species
UGUGAACUAAUUGAAGCGAGAAUAAAACUUGGAAGAAAAUACAUUGAAUGCUAUUAAAUGCAACAAAUGUAGCUUUCCAACACACCUCCAUCUAUUAAACAAUACUCAAUAAAAAAAAUGCGUGACAACAAAAAGCAUUUAAUAUGAGAAUUUAACCAAACUUAAGUCUAACACUUAAAAUAAACUAAAAGAAAACCCAUUGAGCUCCUCUCAAGUGAACGUGGCAUCAGCCCUUUGUUGGAAUCAAAAGGAAUUUUUCUACUAAAAAGAAGAUACCGCAUAUGCUUCCUAAUAAAUAGAUGAAUCACAAUAAAGAAUAGCAAACAUAAAUGCAAACACGGUAGUCACUGGAAUAAGGGAAAGAAAACUUAAAUGCAAAUGCUGAUUUCAUUCAAAGAAAAUGAUAAAUCAACUGUGUGCUUUUCUAUUUCAUUCCUCCUAAAACAUUCAAAGCAUGAACUAAAAAAAACUGGCUGGACGCAACAGCUCAAGCAAAGAAAAGGAAAAUAAUCUUCUCAAGGUGGUUGUUGCACCUCCAUUCUAAUCAUUGCCUUCUUCAUUCUCGGUGGCUGCUCUAGACUUCCAUGCUCCCCCCCCCCCUCUAGCCAAUGUAAUAGUAGCAUGCAAUAAAAAAAUGACCGCCUCCACAUGUGCCUUGCUCCAGCUGACAAAACCUGCCCUAGGUUUCCACGAUCCAACCUUAUUUUCUUUUUCCAAUUGACAACUCCAUAUCCAUGAGUGCACCCCUUUGCUGGUUGCCCCGUGAAGUGUGAAGAAAAAUUGUGGGCUGAAGCUAAAUUCUGGAUGUGGCAGCUGCUCAAAAUGUUCCAAGAUGCUGCACCGAUUGCCUUUCUUUGCUAGCCCAUUCUUUGCUGAAUGCGUGUUGAUGUGGAGAGCUGGUGCUGAAUGCCAUUGGGUUGCUGUUGUGUUUCAAAACUACUGUCGGAUGCUCCUCCUUAUCCAAGCACACACCUCUCCUAGCUGGAUGAAGAAUAAUAUUGUUGAUGUAUAUUUACCGUCCAGCCCUUUCUGAAACUAUGGGCCGUGUUGUGCUAGUUGGUGAUGUUGCCUUUUAUAUAUGGUGCUACAGCUCCUCUCAAUCUCGUUGCAGCUUUUUUUCCAAUUUUUUACAAUGAAAGCUAAGUGUUGCAGCUGCACGUGAAGGCCCCGGCCGUGAAUGUUUCUCCAAUAAAUGAAGUCACGUGUUGGUUCUCUCUUUUUGAGUCGGCAUGCUACACUUGUGCAUCCUUGCUAGACAUCCAACAUUUUUCCCAUGGGCCCCGCCUUUAAAUGGUAUUAGCACGUUGCAGCAUGGAAUGCAACG